ACAAAAACUUCAGAAAAAGCGAGAAAAAGUAGGUGGGCAAAAAUGUAUUGGAAACCUAAAUUGAUAUGCGGGCCGGAUCAAAGUCUGCGAGGGGCCAGAUUUGCCCCGAAUGUGAUUUAGUAGAAUUUGAAGAAAACACAUGUCCAAUUUUUAUAUAUAUAUUUUUAAAUGUAUGACACAAUUUUAACACUUUUAUUAAUUAUUCUGGUUGAUUGACUUACAUGACUUUUUAGCUCAGGUCGUAUUGAUUUUAGGGAUAUGACGCAUUUGAAGAUACUCCAGGAAAUGACAU